rnacentral:sRNA from 12 species
GGAUAAUCCCGGGCAACCGGGGAAAGGAGGGCGUUAAUUGGUGACGUCCUCCCCUCUGCGGCGCGAGCCGCACGCAGGCAAAUAUCACCAGUUCCUCUGGACGGCGUCGCAGCCGAUCCAGUAUUGCGACAAAGGAGCUGUGCGGCGAGGCGCGACAUCAGAAACCGCGUUCGAGCCGAGUCAGGUCCAGGGCCAGUUUCGGGCCUUGCACCGAUGCAGUUACCCAGAGGGUUGUGGUUGCUACUGUAUAACUAGGACGCAGCGCAGUGUUCCGGUGGGUCCACCCCACCACAAGGCCCGGCCCGCAAGGCGGGGCGCGAAAGGGACACCGCGCAGCGGGGAGCGGGCGAGUCUGGCAAAGCUCGCAAAACCUCCUAAUUGGGGCGGCGCGUAAAUCCGCGUCACCCAACUGCAAAUCGAAAGCAACCUGAGAGGUAAGAGGUCAGACCCGUUACACGGGGCCAACGCCCGGCCAAAAGCCGGGGCCGUCCCCGUGGCAAGGUGCUGGUGCGAAAUGCAACAUUGCAGGCGUGCCAACACCCGUCCGGCGAGUUCACCAUCGGCAGAUGGAGCCGAACCGGGCGGAGAGGCCUCACUCGAUAAAUUCCGGAGCUGAAAAGGCCGGGACGGUCCCGCUAUGAGACCGACAGCAUCGCAUGCCGCGAUGAGUAGCGUCGGGAAGCACACGGCCCGCGAAAGCGAGGCGCCCAAUGUUGUGCGAAUGGGGAAGAGUGCGUGGCGAGCACC